AUGAACGCUAGCUACAGGCUUAACACAUGCAAGUCGAGGGGCAUCAGGAGGAAAGCUUGCUUUCUUUGCUGGCGACCGGCGCACGGGUGAGUAACACGUAUCCAACCUGCCCUUUACUCGGGGAUAGCCUUUCGAAAGAAAGAUUAAUACCCGAUGGCAUAAUGAUUCCGCAUGGUUUCAUUAUUAAAGGAUUCCGGUAAAGGAUGGGGAUGCGUUCCAUUAGGUUGUUGGUGAGGUAACGGCUCACCAAGCCUUCGAUGGAUAGGGGUUCUGAGAGGAAGGUCCCCCACAUUGGAACUGAGACACGGUCCAAACUCCUACGGGAGGCAGCAGUGAGGAAUAUUGGUCAAUGGGCGCUAGCCUGAACCAGCCAAGUAGCGUGAAGGAUGAAGGCUCUAUGGGUCGUAAACUUCUUUUAUAUAAGAAUAAAGUGCAGUAUGUAUACUGUUUUGUAUGUAUUAUAUGAAUAAGGAUCGGCUAACUCCGUGCCAGCAGCCGCGGUAAUACGGAGGAUCCGAGCGUUAUCCGGAUUUAUUGGGUUUAAAGGGAGCGUAGGUGGACUGGUAAGUCAGUUGUGAAAGUUUGCGGCUCAACCGUAAAAUUGCAGUUGAUACUGUCAGUCUUGAGUACAGUAGAGGUGGGCGGAAUUCGUGGUGUAGCGGUGAAAUGCUUAGAUAUCACGAAGAACUCCGAUUGCGAAGGCAGCUCACUGGACUGCAACUGACACUGAUGCUCGAAAGUGUGGGUAUCAAACAGGAUUAGAUACCCUGGUAGUCCACACAGUAAACGAUGAAUACUCGCUGUUUGCGAUAUACAGUAAGCGGCCAAGCGAAAGCAUUAAGUAUUCCACCUGGGGAGUACGCCGGCAACGGUGAAACUCAAAGGAAUUGACGGGGGCCCGCACAAGCGGAGGAACAUGUGGUUUAAUUCGAUGAUACGCGAGGAACCUUACCCGGGCUUAAAUUGCAGUGGAAUGAUGUGGAAACAUGUCAGUGAGCAAUCACCGCUGUGAAGGUGCUGCAUGGUUGUCGUCAGCUCGUGCCGUGAGGUGUCGGCUUAAGUGCCAUAACGAGCGCAACCCUUAUCUUUAGUUACUAACAGGUCAUGCUGAGGACUCUAGAGAGACUGCCGUCGUAAGAUGUGAGGAAGGUGGGGAUGACGUCAAAUCAGCACGGCCCUUACGUCCGGGGCUACACACGUGUUACAAUGGGGGGUACAGAAGGCAGCUAGCGGGUGACCGUAUGCUAAUCCCAAAAUCCUCUCUCAGUUCGGAUCGAAGUCUGCAACCCGACUUCGUGAAGCUGGAUUCGCUAGUAAUCGCGCAUCAGCCACGGCGCGGUGAAUACGUUCCCGGGCCUUGUACACACCGCCCGUCAAGCCAUGGGAGCCGGGGGUACCUGAAGUACGUAACCGCAAGGAUCGUCCUAGGGUAAAACUGGUGACUGGGGCU
rnacentral:rRNA from 1 species